rnacentral:lncRNA from 1 species
UUAUUAAGUCUAUAAGAGUAUUUAAAAAUUUGGUGUUCUAUAAUUUGAUUUGGGAGUCACUGACCUAAAGCUCGCUACAUGCAUCAUUUUGGAAGCUUAAAGAAGAUAAGUCUUGUACACGAGAUGUAAAAAAAUUGAUCUAAAUAAUCAAAAGUGAAAUGUGCUCGGUAAAGACUUUGAGAUUUAAACUCUAGGGAUUAGCAGUGUAACUUUGAGAAACACUUACCAUCUUUUUCCUAGGUUUACAUAUAUCCAAACCACUUGAGUGAAAAAAUGCGUUAUAAUAAUUUUUAGAAACCCAUAUGUGCUAGAAGUACUUCGGGCUUUGGGAGAAAAACAUAUGGAUUGCUCAUGCACAAGAGGCAUUAGGAAAAACUGACCACAAGAGGAUUGGGAUUGUGCAUAAAUCAACAUUACUUGAUUAGCUGUGUUCUAGUAUGGGUGUGAGUCCAAUGUUGGCUAGUCAUACACACACUAAGUUGAGCAUCGGAUAAGUAAAAAUCUAUUUUAAUAUUAUUUGGAUCUUUCUAAAGUAUUGCUUAAAUUUGAACGUAAGGCUUUUGAUAAGCGAUUCAUCGUUGAGUCUUUUAUUUGUGAUUUGUUUGGGUUAAUUAUAUGUGUCAUAUCUAAGUUUUAUUUUAUUUUCUUCGAGGAUGAACAAAUGUUUUAGUUUGGGGGUGUUUGAUAAAUACAUUAUUGUGCACUUAUUUAGAACAUAUUAUUAAACUUUUAUGUCGUCAAAUUGUUGAAUUUUAUUUAACUUGGGUUAAUUUUCUUUUGUUUUACUAAUGGACUCGUUUGAAGCAAUUGAUAAGAAAAUAAGGAUUGAUUGGCCAUUAAGCAGAAGUUUGUGGACUAAAUCUCACUUGAAUAAAAGUUGGAGGAUCAAAAUCGAGGAGAAAAUGAAGAAAGGGACUAACUUGCAUCACUGGAAGAAUUGAGGCCUUAGAAGAUAAAUUGCAACUAAUUGGGCCUCAAAAUAAUGAAAUUUUAAUUGGGCCUAAAGUGGACUUUUAAUUGUAAAUAAAUUGAAUAAUUAAUGGAACGUUGAAUUGAAAUUGCAACUAAUUGGGCCUCAAAUUGAUGAAAAGUGAAAAUUUAAUUGGGCCUAAAGUGGACUUUUAAUUGUAAUUAAAUUGAAUAAUUAAUGGAACGUUGAAUUGGGCAGCUGCUUUAGAAUUGUGAAAGUGUGUGUGUGUGUGUGUGUAGAAUUGAAUAUACAUACAUGCAAAAGGGUGGUAGAAAUUUGGGAAGAAAAGACUAGGUGGAUAGAAACAUUUGGGCGGUUGGAGAAAAGAUAAAAGAGAAGCAAAGCUGGCGGAAAAGCAAUACAAAUUUGAGGAAUUAAUCACGCUCCAUCGAUGUUUUGUGAUGUCUUUUAUCAUUUAUUUGCCUAAUUUCAAUAUUAUGCUUUGCUAAAUUAUUUUGUGCUAGGAUUUACGAUAAAUUUUUUUAUAAUGAACCUUUAAAUCUAAAUUUGAUUUCUUUUGACAUUUAAAACACAUUUUCGAUUCUUGAAUAAUUGGCAUGGAUUUAAUUACUUGAUCAGUAAUUUUACAUUGGAGAGAUGGAAAACAAGCUAGACAUUUUGUCAAUUAUCGUAGAGUCGAUAGGGAAUAGAAAUAUACAUUUAU